rnacentral:misc_RNA from 1 species
AACCAUUCUCACCUGCGGCUAGACCUGCGGAAGGAUCAUUACCGAGUUUACAACUCCCAAACCCCUGUGAACAUACCUAUAUGUUGCCUCGGCGGAUCAGCCCGCGCCCCGUAAAACGGGACGGCCCGCCGCAGGAUCCACAAACUCUGUUUUUAUUGUAACUUCUGAGUAACAAAACAAAUAAAUCAAAACUUUUAACAACGGAUCU